rnacentral:rRNA from 1 species
UUGACCUCGGAUCAGGUAGGGAUACCCGCUGAACUUAAGCAUAUCAAUAAGCGGAGGAAAAGAAACCAACAGGGAUUACCUCAGUAACGGCGAGUGAAGCGGUAACAGCUCAAAUUUGAAAGCUAGCCCUCUUAGGGUUCGCAUUGUAAUUUGUAGAAGAUGCUUCGGGUGUGGCCCCGGUCUAAGUUCCUUGGAACAGGACGUCAUAGAGGGUGAGAAUCCCGUAUGUGACUGGGUGCUUUCGCUCAUGUGAAGCUCUUUC